ACCUGGAAUAGCUCAGUCAGUAGAGCAUGAGGCUCUUAAUCACAGGGCCAUGGGUUCAAGCCUCAAGUUGGGGA